CCUACGGGCGGCAGCAGUGGGGAAUAUUGGACAAUGGGCGAAAGCCUGAUCCAGCCAUGCCGCGUGUGUGAAGAAGGCCUUCGGGUUGUAAAGCACUUUCAGUGGGGAAGAAAGCCUUGGGGCUAAUACCCUCGAGGAAGGACAUCACCCACAGAAGAAGCACCGGCUAACUCCGUGCCAGCAGCCGCGGUAAUACGGAGGGUGCGAGCGUUAAUCGGAAUUACUGGGCGUAAAGCGCGCGUAGGCGGUCUGAUAAGCCGGUUGUGAAAGCCCCGGGCUCAACCUGGGAACGGCAUCCGGAACUGUCAGGCUAGAGUGCAGGAGAGGAAGGUAGAAUUCCCGGUGUAGUGGUGAAAUGCGUAGAGAUCGGGAGGAAUACCAGUGGCGAAGGCGGCCUUCUGGACUGACACUGACGCUGAGGUGCGAAAGCGUGGGUAGCAAACAGGAUUAGAUACCCGAGUAGUC
rnacentral:rRNA from 1 species